CGCGGGGUGGAGCAGCCCGGUAGCUCGUCGGGCUCAUAACCCGAAGGUCGUCAGUUCAAAUCUGGCCCCCGCA
rnacentral:tRNA from 2 species